rnacentral:rRNA from 1 species
UCGAGAAUCUUUCGCAAUGGGCGAAAGCCUGACGAAGCGACGCCGCGUGAGCGAUGAAGGCCUUAGGGUUGUAAAGCUCUUUCGCCUGGGAACAAGAGAGACCGCUGAAUAAGCGGUUGAUUUGAGGGUACCAGGAUAAGAAGCACCGGCUAACUCUGUGCCAGCAGCUGCGGUAAUACAGAGGGUGCUAGCGUUAAUCGGAUUUAUUGGGCGUAAAGGGCGUGUAGGCGGAGAGGUAAGUCAGAUGUGAAAUCCCGGGGCUCAACUCCGGAACAGCAUUUGAAACUGCCCUUCUAGAGGAUAGACGGAGAAAAUGGAAUUCCACAAGUAGCGGUGAAAUGCGUAGAUAUGUGGAAGAACACCUGUGGCGAAAGCGGUUUUCUAGUUUAUUCCUGACGCUGAGGCGCGAAAGCUAGGGGAGCAAACA